rnacentral:rRNA from 1 species
GGGGAGCGUUCUCUAAGCCUGCGAAGGUGUGCUGCGAGGCAUGCUGGAGGUAUGAGAAGUGCGAAUGCUGACAUGAGUAACGUUAAAACGGGUGAAAAACCCGUUCGCCGAAAACCCAAGGUUUCCUGAGCUACGUUAAUCGGCUCAGGGUGAGUCGGAUCCUAAGGCGAGGCCGAAAGGCGUAGUCGAUGGACAUCAGGUUAAUAUUCCUGAACCGACUGUUACUGCGAUGGGGGUGACGGAGAAGGCUAAAGCAGCGGCAGCAGUGCCGUCCAAGCUCGUAGGCGGAUCUUCCUGGCAAAUCCGGAAGGUCAUUCAACGCCGAGAAGUGAGUGCGAGUCGAACCGCAAGGUAAGACGAAGUGUUUGAUGCCCCGCUUCCAGGAAAAGCCUCUAAGCUUCAGGUAAUAGUUGUCCGUACCGUAAACCGACACUGGUGGGUGAGCAGAUGAUCUGCUUAGGCGCUUGAGAGAACUCUGGUUAAGGAACUCUGCAAAUUGAUACCGUAACUUCGGAAGAAGGUAUGCC